GAUGAACGCUGGCGGCGUGCCUAAUACAUGCAAGUCGAGCGAAUGGAUUAAGAGCUUGCUCUUAUGAAGUUAGCGGCGGACGGGUGAGUAACACGUGGGUAACCUGCCCAUAAGACUGGGAUAACUCCGGGAAACCGGGGCUAAUACCGGAUAACAUUUUGAACCGCAUGGUUCGAAAUUGAAAGGCGGCUUCGGCUGUCACUUAUGGAUGGACCCGCGUCGCAUUAGCUAGUUGGUGAGGUAACGGCUCACCAAGGCAACGAUGCGUAGCCGACCUGAGAGGGUGAUCGGCCACACUGGGACUGAGACACGGCCCAGACUCCACGGGAGGCAGCAGUAGGGAAUCUUUCGCAAUGGACGAAAGUCUGACGGAGCAACGCCGCGUGAGUGAUGAAGGCUUUCGGGUCGUAAAGCUCUGUUGUUAGGGAAGAACAAGUGCUAGUUGAAUAAGCUGGCACCUUGACGGUACCUAACCAGAAAGCCACGGCUAACUACGUGCCAGCAGCCGCGGUAA
rnacentral:rRNA from 1 species